UACGAAGGGGGCUAGCGUUGCUCGGAAUCACUGGGCGUAAAGGGUGCGUAGGCGGGUCUUUAAGUCAGGGGUGAAAUCCUGGAGCUCAACUCCAGAACUGCCUUUGAUACUGAAGAUCUUGAGUUCGGGAGAGGUGAGUGGAACUGCGAGUGUAGAGGUGAAAUUCGUAGAUAUUCGCAAGAACACCAGUGGCGAAGGCGGCUCACUGGCCCGGUACUGACGCUGAUGCGCGAAAGCGUGGGGAGCAAACAGG
rnacentral:rRNA from 1 species